rnacentral:tRNA from 1 species
GUUGCUGUAGCUUAAAACAAAGCAUAGYACUGAAAAUGCUAAAAUGGUCACCACCCACCAACA